rnacentral:rRNA from 1 species
UCGCUCAACGGAUAAAAGCUACCCCGGGGAUAACAGGCUUAUCUCCCCCAAGAGUUCACAUCGACGGGGAGGUUUGGCACCUCGAUGUCGGCUCAUCGCAUCCUGGGGCUGAAGUCGGUCCCAAGGGUUGGGCUGUUCGCCCAUUAAAGCGGUACGUGAGCUGGGUUCAGAACGUCGUGAGACAGUUGAAGCUAUAGGACAUUUUAGCUUGACAUUUGAGCUGUCUCUCCUUUUCGACGUAAAAAAAUAAACUUUUUGUCCAAAAAGAAUAAAGGGAUAUAAAUCUGGCUAUAUGCUGGGAAGUCUUGUUAAAUGGUAAUCUACUAGUAUAUAAUUUAUUUACUAGUAAAAAUGAUUUACCCUGAGAUUAUCAGCAGGAAAGGCUAGUUCUAUAUGUCUCUGAAGAUCAGUGAUGAUUAUCUAAUUGGUUUUGUAGAAGGAGAAGGAAUGUUUUACAUUGGAAUUGUUCCGUCUAGUGGAACGAGUAGAACAGCAAGUGGUUGGCAAGUUAUUUAUUUCUUUAAAGCUUCGCAAAACCCUUGUGGAAAGAUUAUAUUAGAUCAAUUAAGAAAGAGAUUGGAUUGUGGUUAUUUAAAACCUAACAGUCAAACUGAUCCAACUGAUAAAUCUUUAGCGUUAGUUGUUAGAGAUUUACCAAGUUUGAGAGACAAAGUUAUUCCGUUUUUUGAAAAUAAACUGGUUAUCAAACGUCGCACUUUUGGUAAGUUUAAAAAAGUGAUAGAAAUUGUUGACCAGAGAAAACAUUUAACAAAAGAUGGAAUGAAGAAAGUUCUUGAUAUUGCUUAUUCUAUGAAUACUCGAAAGAGAAAAGUAAGCAAAAAAAGAAUUCUUAAAGAUUACGAGAACUAGAAUCCUCACAGGCCAUACGCCAGAGUACGUUCAGUUUAUAUGAAGGUACAAGAUAUGGUCGGACCCCUAUGGCGACAUAGGGAGCUAGCAGGAAAAAGAAACUAGCUAGCCACAUAAUUGUGUAACAAUAAUGUCGGACUCUAUCCGGUGGAAGCGUUUGAGCCUUGAGGGGCGCUGACCUCAGUACGAGAGGACCAGGUCGGGGGAAUCCCUAGUGUGCCGGUUGUGGUGUUUACUGCAACGCCGGGUAGCUACAUUCCUUAGGGAUAACCGCUGAAAGCAUCUAAGCGGGAAGCCCACCCCAAGAUGAGGGCUCAUUGAGACCCCUGGAAGACUACCAGGUUAUUCGGCAGGCGGUGGAAGACCCGUAAGGGUUUAAGCUAACCUGUUGCGAAUCGGUCAAAGAAUU